GGGGAAUAUUGCGCAAUGGGGGAAACCCUGACGCAGCAAUACCGCGUGAGUGAAGAAGGUUUUCGGAUCGUAAAGCUCUGUUAUUGGGGAAGAAAAAAAGACGGUACCCAAGAAGAAAGUCCCGGCUAACUACGUGCCAGCAGCCGCGGUAAUACGUAGGGGACAAGCGUUGUCCGGAUUUACUGGGCGUAAAGGGCACGCAGGCGGUUUUUUAAGUCAGAUGUGAAAGGUACCGGCUCAACCGGUGACAUGCAUUUGAAACUGAAAGACUUGAUUAUUGGAGAGGCAGGUGAAUUCCUUGGUGUAGCGGUAAAUUCCGAAGAUAUUAGGAGGAACCCGGGUGGGGAGGGCGGCUUGCUGGACAAUUACUGACGCUGGGGUGCGAAAGCGUGGGGAGCAAACG
rnacentral:rRNA from 1 species